AAUAGCACAUGAAGAAUCUGGUCUGGAUGUAUUGUAAGAUUAUAUGAGCAUGAGAAUUUUGUAGAUUCAUCUAUCACUGCACAUUGCCAUUCCCCAGUUUUCCCCAUAUUUUACCUACAUUAUCAGUGGCAUCCAAAUCGCAUCUUGAGGAUUUUGGUGAAGUGUGGUAAUCCGAGUCCUCGACCUUGAGAGGCACAGAUAGAGAUCACCAGCAACUGAUGGACCAUCUCAGAAUCUCAGGAACAUCAGAGGAUCUGACUCUCUACCGCCGAAGCAGGAGAUCAACAGAUCUGGGCUGAUGGAUCCUUUGAUGGAAUACAGGAAUCAGAUAUCAGCAAUGGCAACAUUUGUGGAAUUUCAAAAUUCCAAAUUGGAAUCAAGAGUGAUAAACAUGACACUGAAUGUAGAAGCAGACAGCUAUAUCCAAUUAAAGCUAGGAAUCUUGCAGGUAGUGUUCAAUUGGUGCUUGUACAUAGUUGCUUAACUAUGUAUACUCCCUCAUAUCCAAGUGUUAAAUGAGACUAGCUAUGCCAAUUCCUGAGGAAGUUAAGGGCCAACACAAAUUGUAUUUGCAUCAGAAGCCUAUGAGUGCUUUCUUCUACAGGAUAUUUACUCUUGUUACUGCAAAUGCACAACUAAUGACAAAUGCCUCUUUAAAUGUGAUGAUAUCUGCUGGCACGCAUACCAAAAGAAAAUACCAGAUUACUAAGGGGAGAAGGAGACAUUUUGGUUUGAGGCUACCAAAUACAGAUUGUAUUGCAUUGGCAUCCUGGCAAAUCUGUUUGCAUAUGUAAUGCUUAUAUGUGUAGAUAUGUAAAUGAAAUGCCAGAUUAGGCUCUAUGCCAUUUGGGAGAGGGCAGGGGUUCUGAAGGAGAGGACCCAGCUCAAUAACAACAGAAGGGGACAAACCAAAAGAAGCUGAGAAGUGUGUACAAUGUAGACUAGUCUCCUGUUUAGUCUGAUAUCCUUUCAGAAAGAGAAAAUGCAAGUGAUGUUACAGAUUUAUGGAUAAAAUCCUUACCUGCUUUUGUGUGGAAUAAGACAGAUCAGCCUGCCCUUAGCCAUAUACAAUGUGAAAAGAUAGAUGUGUUUGGGAAAAGCAUGUUAUGAUAACCAUAGCCCAGGGGAUGUAGUGGUCUGUUUGCAUAACCAUGGUAGGAGUUUACAAAUCUGAUCAUUUUCAAUUACACGGACUGCCAGUAUCCAAGCCAUUUUUGAAGUGCAGAGUUAACUGCUCUCUCAGGAUAUGUCUACUGCAAUACGACCCCUGGGAUAGCUCUGGAUGGCCCAGAUCAGCUCACUCAGGCUUGUGGGUCUCAGGCUGCAGGACUAUAAAAUUUCAGGGUACAUGUUCAGGCUUUGGCAUCCUCACCCCUGGAGGGGUCUCAGAGUUGGAGUCACCUGACUCAUGCCAACCACGGGUCUUUUAUUACCCUGAGACCCUGAGCAAGGGGGGAAGGUCUCAGCCCGCGCUCCAGUACAAGCCCGAACACCCACACUGCUAUUUUUAGCCCUGCAGCCUGAGCCCUGGGAGUCUGAGUCAGCUGACCUGGGCUCAGACUUGAUGCCGUGGGUUUUUUAACAUAGUGUAGCCAUAUCCAGGGUAUACUCAGUUCUGCCUAGCUGUGUGGAUUGAUGGACGUGUGCUAAUAUCCACAUAUAGGAGAAGCUUGUCUUCAUCUUCCUUGGAAUUUUGGGAAGAGUGCCAAAACUCAGAUGCUGAACUUUCCAAGCAAGAAAAACAUAAUUCUGAUCCAACUCAAGUGUAGGUUCUGUGGAAACUGAGCUGAAGAAGCCUUCUGACAUUUAGAUGACGAGAAGACUAUAUUUUUUCUUGUUAGUGUCCCUAAAAGCUGAAAGCUGCCUUUUUUGUACUCAUUCACAAUAUUCAGUCAACUAAUGUUGUAAGAUGCACAACCAAGAAGUUUUCAGGAUCCAAAAUAUUAAUCAAGAAAUUUAUUA